rnacentral:rRNA from 1 species
UACGGAGGGGGCUAGCGUUGUUCGGAAUUACUGGGCGUAAAGCGCACGUAGGCGGCUUUGCAAGUCAGAGGUGAAAGCCCGGGGCUCAACCCCGGAAUUGCCUUUGAUACUGGUCAUCUUGAGUACGGGAGAGGUGUGUGGAACUCCGAGUGUAGAGGUGAAAUUCGUAGAUAUUCGGAAGAACACCAGUGGCGAAGGCGACACACUGGCCCGUUACUGACGCUGAGGCGCGAAAGCGUGGGGAGCAAACAGG